GCACACACACACAGAGACACGCUUUUUGAGGGUGAAGUGGGGGGCUGGGAGAGGGGUAGGGUAGGCACUGGGUGUGUGGGUCUUAUCCUCCACCUCACCUCUUCAUGAACUCCCCUCCCCCCAGGCACCUCCUUCUACCAUGGAUGCUUUGCAGACAUCUGAUGCCCUGUAAUGCCGUCGGGGCUGGGCCAUCUCACUCUGCUGCGCCAUUUUCAUUGGGCACUGAUGGCUCUUUUAUUUUCGGGAGAGGAGGGCGGGGAGCGUCGCCUGGACCCCCCCCCUUUCCCCAUUUGGGACGCUCGAAUGGAGGCUGCCCUGUGCCUUGGGUCCCAAUACAGACCGGGGCCCAAAGCCAACUGCUCUCGCCCAGCAGUGUUGCUCAUCCGGCGCCCUCGGGGGUCCCUUUUCUGAACUCCUGCUUCAACACCGCGAGGCGGCUCAGGAAGAAAAUGUUUACUUCUUUACGCCAAGGAGCUUGGGAAAGGAGGACUGGAGGAAGAGACAUGCAAGGACUCAGUUCAGAUUGGACCUUUGUUGAAGCAAAUUUCUCACUCAGAGCUAUCCCUGGGGCUGCAACCACAGGCCUGUCCAUUUUGGUGCCUGGAACAAAUGGGUCAAAGCAGCAACACAUCACUGGUCAUAGUACAAUGUGAGUAUAGGAUUGUUCUGAAAAGUGGUUUUUGGUGUGUUUUAUUUUGAGGGGAGCUGGAGUUGAGCCCUGGUGGGUCUGGAGGAAGAGUUAAACCUGCUUCCCUCUCAUUCUGUGGCCCCAAUUCAAAUUGCCCUUUCCUACAGUGGUUGAUGGUUUACUUGUCCCCCCACCCCGAAAAUGGAAAAAAGAAAGCCACAAUCAAACACACUGGGUCCAAAUCAUGCCACGGCUAGUUUGACCCACUGCCCAAUUAGAGAAAAGUAAAGCAGAAUAUAUUGUUAUGUAUGAAACAUUCAGCAGGUGGCGAUAUUGCUUUAGUUAAUUAUUGCAAGGAACUCUGGUUAAAGGAACUACUGUCCCGUUGGAGGGCAGUUACUAGGUACAAGCUCUAGAAUUAUAUAGAGCUUAUUUACCAUGCCCAAGAUCCGCACACUCCAUUUGACCACAUUGGGAUGUUGAUUGUUCCCCCACCCUCCCAUUUAGAUGUACUUUGCAAAUUGAAUUCCCAGUGCUGCAAUGUAUUCCCAGUUGAGGUUCCAUAUACCAGACCAAAGGUUAUUUCUACUCUCUGCCCUCCUUUACACAGCUUGAUAAUUAUUUCUCUGAAAUGGGAAUCUCUCCAGCGUUAGAAGAACACAAUCAGAAAAACAGAAGAUAUCUAUGAAGACAGCAGCUUCCCAGCAUGGAAGCUGAGAGUACAUUGUGUGUCCUGUAUACUUGAGGCUGCAUGAUAGCAGAAGCUGCCAAUCUUUUUGGACCAGUAGGCACAUCUGCAAACUGCAGAAACUACCAUGGGUACCACAACCCCACUGUCUUCAAGCACAGGCUGCAAGCUAGUCUAUUGACUACAAUAAGAUGCUCCUUUCAACUCUCAUUUCAGCAGCGCAAGAGGGAGGGAACUUGGUGGACCCUCUUUCAAGUUCAAUAUUAACACCAAGAGGCGUAAUAGAGGGUUGCAUUUUAACAGCACUAUUGCUUAAUCCUUUUAUAAUAAAACAUUUCAGGAGCUCUCUUCUUCCCCUACUCAAUCUUAUCUUGAUUUUUGCUCUUAUUUAGUUAUUUGCAAUGUCUUGAUAUUUCUUUAUGCACUGGAUCAAAACAAAAUAUGCUGGUUGCAUUGGUAAGGAGUGGCUGCAUUCAGACAUUAUGGAUAAAUUAUGGUUUAUAGUGACAGGAAUCAACCUAGCCUCCUCCAGGAUCAUGUUCCCUCUCCUCCUGCUUGGCUGUUGCUUCCUGCUUCAGUUAAUCACUGAACUCUAAACUGUGGCUAAUCUUAACUAUCAUUAUUUGAAAUAAGCCAACUCUGUAAACUAUGGCUUUACAUUGGCUUGCUUCAAACAAACUUCACUUAAAGGUUCACCUCAAUUUGUUGGGCUUGUACAACAUAGCAAACUGAGCUCAAUCAAAACCAGAAAAAAUGCUUCUCAUCCCCUCCCCAUGGCUGGAUUGGAGAAGAAGGGCAAGCACAUGAGCUAGACUUUUUCUCAUUAUGAUAAACUAUUGUUAAUCAUGAUGACCAAACAUGGUCAUUGUGAUUUCAUAUACCAUAUAGCCUCUGCUGAUCCUUCUAAUGAGAUUGAAUCUUCCCAAAGAUCCACCACAUAUGCAUAUCAUAUGUACUGGAACCUUGACAGUUCCAAACAUAUAUCGAAUGUUGCUCUGUUUAAUUGGCUGAAGUGUUAAAUUAAUAGCACAAUACUCUUUAGGGGGUGGGAUUUAACUAAUUGGCCCUGAUUGCAGAAACCUGUGCAAGGACUUCUACUAGUGCAAUGGGACUUCUCCCUCCCCCUAUGUGCUCCCAUGCCCCCAUUGGCGCCGGGGUGUCAGGAGAACCCCCAGAAGAGCACAUGGGGGAAGAGAGGGGAUAUUGUUCUAUUGGGCAAGCAGAAAUGAUGGAACUUCCAAAGGUUGUGAAAGGAGUGUCCAGGUGUGAGGCUUCAUCUCCGGUAAUGGAGAAAGCUCACGGAAGGGGUGUCAAGUCAGAGGGGGAAGAGUCUGACGGAGAAGACACAACUGCUGGCCCUAAUGGGUCAGUAGGGUAUCAGGUCACAGGUGCGUGGAAAAGUGUCGCACAGUGUGAUUCUGGGAAUGCUGAAGGGGUUCAACAGGUGCCUGGGAAAGAUGCCGGGAAGUGGCACAAGGCAAAGGGGAAGGUGUUGAACUCAGAAGGUCUUGUCAGAAUGUGAUGCAGAGGGGGUAUGGGAGUUGGAACUUAACUGGUUAAGUUGUUCCCAUGGUGCCUCAGCAUUCUGACGUCAGCCUAGCAAGCUGGGAGGAGUUUGGGAAGAGUUUCUGUUCUGUUCCCCUCUGGUCUUUGAGGGAGAAAGACGUAGCCGGUAAUGGCGGAAAGGAGCCCAGGAGAUUCCUGGGGAAAUGUCGGAAUAAAGAGCUGAAAAGGACUUUUGUUUAAACAAUGGGAACAAUUUGUUUAAAUUCCACCCUUAGCUGGAACAUGUUAAAUUCCACCCUUAGUGUUUAUUAUUGUUGAAAUACAUCAAGAGUCCUUGCACUUUAUUGGAUAACAUCUCUUUGUUUAUUUCUGUGUGGCUCUGUCUAUGCAUUGCAAAUGUAUGUGUUCUGUACAGUAAUUUGAUAGCUUACUCAUCUCUUCAUGACCAUAGUAAAUAGAAAUCGAGAGCCUAAUAAUAACAAAGUCUGAAUUAGAACACACAGAUCUUGAGUGCACUAUUUUCCGGGAAUGGGAAUCCUUGGCAAGCCUGCUUGCAGGUCUUUUCGGAACAGCUUGUGGCCUUGUCUAAUUGGUUAAGGGUAAGAAACAAACAUAUGGUGUUUAAUUGGAGCAGAGAAACUUUGGAACAUUAAUUCAUUUUAUCUGGUCAUUGAAUUUCUGUUGGGGUGGAGGGCCAGAGUAACAGAGAUUUCAGGCUUUCUAGGUGAAAAUUAAAUACAUGGCCCAACCAACAUUUAGCUCUUGUGUGGUUCAUCUGCACAUCCCUGUUCAAGCAAAUGGCACAACUUCUAACCUGAAUAAUACAAGAAAGGAUAAUUGGUAUCAAUUCAAUCUCUUUCCUCAGGUUUUGAAAACUUCUUUUUCAAAAAUUGCAUGUAUUUUUAAAAAAUCCACGUCUUGCAUGCUGAAGUAUUCCUAACCAGACUUAAUGCAAACCUGGGUCUCAAGCUGGGUUCUAAGCACAUUUGCUUUGAAGAAAGCUUUACUGAAAUUCAUUCUAAAUAAAAGCGUUUAAUAUCAAGGUGCAUAUGCUUUAUCUUAAUUCUUCCUUCCUGAGGGCUAUUGCCUGGAGUUCAAUAAUCUCUUAGAUUGGGUUGGAGAUGAACUGAUCUAGUUCUACAGUAACAGAUUGUGGUAUUUGAACCUCACAACCACAUUUAGAAGAGGUUAAAAACAGGAUGCCUGCAGCUGAAAUAACAAUUGUUACUAUUUUAAACCAUUUAGCUCUUUCCUUCCAGUUUUGCAAUGUUUCUGUUUGCUUUUAUUAAGUUUUGAAAGCACAUCACUACCUAACAUCACUGUAGAAUUUUUUUUUCAUUUUGUAAUUAUACUUUUCUCGAAACAAACAAGGAUUUGGCCCACUUUAGUUAAUUAUCUGACUUCAGACCAGUGGUCCAUCGAGAUCAGUAUUGUCUAAGUAGAUGGCAUUGGCUGUCCAGUAUAGCAGAUGGGGUUCUCUCCCAGCCCUUCCAAGAGAUGCUGGCAAUUGAACCUGAGACCUUCUGCAUGCAAGGUCUAAAGCCUAUGCCCUUACUGGGACGUUAACUUAAUCCCAGUGCAGUUGCUACACAGGUAACUCUCAAUUUACAUGCAUUUAACUUGUACAUAUUCAGCUUUACAUGCUCGGCAAAAAUAAAAUUAAAAAGGGGUGGGUGUCUGGGGGAAAAUAUACUUUGACAAUCCCACACACCAUUGAAUCCAAUGUGUCUUGACUAUAUGUGAUUUUGCCUUUAUGUGCUGUCCCUGAAACGUAAUCCCCGUGUGAGUUGAUCAUUACCUGCAGUUCAUUUCUAUAAAUCAGGAGUCUCUGGGGUCUCUGUGAGAAAACCCGGAUAUAAUCUUCUAAAUUUAAAAAUAAAAGAGUGUGGAAUAUGUACAGUGUUGUUGUUGUUCAUUUGGAGUCUUUACUUACAUAGUUAUUUCUGUCACU
rnacentral:lncRNA from 1 species